rnacentral:rRNA from 1 species
GACGAACGCUGGCGGCGUGCUUAACACAUGCAAGUCGAACGGAAAGGCCCUGCUUUUGUGGGGUGCUCGAGUGGCGAACGGGUGAUUAACACGUGAGUAACCUGCCCUUGACUUUGGGAUAACUUCAUGAAACUUGAGCUAAUACCGGAUAGGAGCUCCUGCUGCAUGGUGGGGGUUGGAAAGUUUCGGCGGUUGGGGAUGGACUCGCGUCUUAUCAGCUUGUUGGUGGGGUAGUGGCUUACCAAGGCUUUGACGGGUAGCCGGCCUGCGAGAGUGACCGGACACACUAGGACGGAGAUACGGCCCAGACUACUACGGGAGGCAGCAGUGGGGAAUAGUGCACAAUGGGCGGAAGCCUGAUGCAGCAACGCCGCGUGCGGGAUGAGGGCCUUCGGGUUGUAAACCGAUGUCGCCUGUGACGAAGCGUGAGUGACGGUAAUGGGUAAAGAAGCACCGGCUAACUACGUG